CUCCCUCCCCUACUAUACAGUUAUUGACUUACACUAAUUCAUUCCCGAUGAUCUCCCAGAAGGAAAUAAGUGUCUGUCUGUCUCUGUCUCUGUACCAUCGUCUUCUUGGUACAGUUCGGACUAUUUUUUCUCUACACCCCAGUUAUGCAAAGUGUAGUCCCUGAACCAGCAGCCUCAGCAUCCUGAGGGAAUUUGUUAAAAACGCGAAAUCUCAAGCCCUACCCAGACUUACUGAAUCAGUGUCUGCAUUGCAACAAGAUCCCCUGGUAAUUCCUAUGCACAUCAAAAUUUGGAAGGCACAGCUCUCAACUGAUGUCCUGGGUCUCCUUCACAUCCAUCCUGGGAAGGUCUUAUUCCUCAUUCCUGAGCUCAUCCCACUGAAGAGCUAUGGCACUUCCAAUUCCUGAGCCUUUGUGAGGUUCUGCGUGUCAGUAAGCUUGCUUCCGGGCAUCACCUCCGAAAACACUUGGGUUUC
rnacentral:lncRNA from 1 species